CACGUGGCGCUCCUCCGGUCAUGUGACGCAGACGGUUCACCUCACAAGACCGGGGUCAACCACAGCUACCAGCAUGAACGACGGCGCUUCAAUGCACAAUGAGGGACGUCUGCAGCGACUGAGAAAGAGUCUCACCACAUCCUGACAUGAGGAAAAAGACUUUAUUGAAGACUACAAUGAGAAAAACUAUCAGACAGCAGACGGCUGCAUUCAAGUCUGUAGCUGCUGAAUUCAUGGAUGAAUCAUCUGGCACUAGAGAAGAAGACCAUCAAACAUCCACGUCAGCUGAUGGAGGUCCAAGAGUCUCACCCAACAAACAACCUACAGAGUGAAGACCUCCAAUCUGAUUGGACGGCCUCCUAUUCAGCCACGUGUGAACAAAUGCCUCUAAGUUGAUUUGUUUUCUAAAAUAAAUCUAGUUUGAGUCCUAAUCAAUGCUUGUGUGUUUGCUUCUUUACACCGCUGUUAACAGUUUAGGCUGUUAGAUUGUUCCAGACAAGUACAAGAUUCUUCAUAGCCGUUCUACCACGAGCCUGACAGGAAGAACUCCAACAGCUACUGAAUGUUCCUGUGGUCCCCUCAAGGCUACAGGAGGAGCCCUACGAGGACGAGCUGGUCCACCUGAUGGCGGCCAGUCACUGUGGUUCAAAGCCAACACCGACUACGUGGACUUCUACUGGACCACAUGGAGGCCUUCAAACCGGACCAACAAGUUCAGCGACUCCCCGACUCGUGGGUCUGAGGACGCCGCCGAGCCUCGGCCCAGCCGGCCUCCUGUCUGUGGGUGUUUGAGUGCUGAGAGGUUUGUGGAUGCAUGUGAACGUUCUGUGUUGAAACAGCAGCUUUGGACUCAGUAACGCCGGGAAAAACCAAGAGCUCCUUUAUUUGUGACUUCCACUAAAAAAAAUGAUGAAAAUAAGUUUGCCAGGGUUCUGACUGAUAACAGAUUAUUAAAUAAUGAAAGUAAUCGUUUAAAUAUUCCUUUAAACAAUCCUUUUACGUCUACAUUUCCUUUACGCUGACUUCUUGGUAUAUGCACAAGUAUUUAGGGUGGAAUAUACCAAUAAGCUCAAUGUUCAAGGGUUCUUCUGGGAAUAUACCAUUAAAC
ensembl:lncRNA